rnacentral:lncRNA from 1 species
CUGCUUCUACAGAUUAUUCCAUGUACAAUAUCUAGCAGAAGUGAAAGCUCGGUUUACACAUAAAUGUAUGUCAGUCCCACUUCUACUAUUUACCAUGUGACUCUGGACAAGCCUUAACUUUUCUUAGCUGCGGUCUCCUUAAUGGUAAAAUGAAGAGGCUGGAUUCUAAGGUCUCUGCCAGCUUUGCAUUCUAAUGGGUACAACAAUCCCUGUGAGGGAAAAAAACUGAGGACCAGAAUGGGAACUGUCUCUAUGAAUCCAGACUGUAAAGAGUGGAGUCAUCUGCCCAUUGGAAGCACUUGGAAGAGGUGCCACUGAUUAGCUAUUGAUUAAUUUCAUGGUAUGUAUUAAACAAUUAUAGUAUAUGAAGAACUACCUAGGCAUUUUUUUUAAAAUUUGAAGUGUGGAUUUAUGGUUUCAUCUAUAGAAAGGACUCCCUAAAUGGGAAAAUCCCUCCACCCAUGCAGAUAGAGCUUCUUGUAAUUCCUAGUCUGAGAAGAUUGCUUAGGGGUGGCCAGCACUAGAUUAGGUGACUU